GGUUAAGUGACUAAGCGUACACGGUGGAUGCCUAGGCAGUCAGAGGCGAUGAAGGGCGUGCUAAUCUGCGAAAAGCGUCGGUAAGGUGAUAUGAACCGUUACAACCGGCGAUACCCGAAUGGGGAAACCCAGUGUGUUUCGACACACUAUCAUGUCAUGAAUACAUAGUGGCAUGAGGCGAACCGGGGGAACUGAAACAUCUAAGUACCCCGAGGAAAAGAAAUCAACCGAGAUUCCCCCAGUAGCGGCGAGCGAACGGGGAGGAGCCCAGAACCUGAAUCGGCUUGUGUGUUAGUGGAAGCGUCUGGAAAGUCGCGCAGCAAAGGGUGAUAGCCCCGUACACUAAAAUGCACAGGUCGUGAGUUCGAUGAGUAGGGCGGGACACGUGACAUCCUGUCUGAAUAUGGGGGGACCAUCCUCCAAGGCUAAAUACUCCUGACUGACCGAUAGUGAACCAGUACCGUGAGGGAAAGGCGAAAAGAACCCCGGCGAGGGGAGUGAAAUAGAACCUGAAACCGUGUACGUACAAGCAGUGGGAGCACCUUCGUGGUGUGACUGCGUACCUUUUGUAUAAUGGGUCAGCGACUUAUAUUUUGUAGCAAGGUUAACCGUAUAGGGGAGCCGUAGGGAAACCGAGUCUUAACUGGGCGAAUAGUUGCAAGGUAUAGACCCGAAACCCGGUGAUCUAGCCAUGGGCAGGUUGAAGGUUGGGUAACACUAACUGGAGGACCGAACCGACUAAUGUUGAAAAAUUAGCGGAUGACUUGUGGCUGGGGGUGAAAGGCCAAUCAAACCGGGAGAUAGCUGGUUCUCCCCGAAAGCUAUUUAGGUAGCGCCUCGUGAACUCAUCUUCGGGGGUAGAGCACUGUUUCGGCUAGGGGGCCAUCCCGGCUUACCAAACCGAUGCAAACUCCGAAUACCGAAGAAUGUUAUCACGGGAGACACACGGCGGGUGCUAACGUCCGUCGUGAAGAGGGAAACAACCCAGACCGCCAGCUAAGGUCCCAAAGUCAUGGUUAAGUGGGAAACGAUGUGGGAAGGCACAGACAGCCAGGAUGUUGGCUUAGAAGCAGCCAUCAUUUAAAGAAAGCGUAAUAGCUCACUGGUCGAGUCGGCCUGCGCGGAAGAUGUAACGGGGCUAAACCAUGCACCGAAGCUGCGGCAGCGACGCUUAGGCGUUGUUGGGUAGGGGAGCGUUCUGUAAGCCGUUGAAGGUGGCCUGUGAGGGUUGCUGGAGGUAUCAGAAGUGCGAAUGCUGACAUAAGUAACGAUAAAGCGGGUGAAAAGCCCGCUCGCCGGAAGACCAAGGGUUCCUGUCCAACGUUAAUCGGGGCAGGGUGAGUCGACCCCUAAGGCGAGGCUGAAAAGCGUAGUCGAUGGGAAACAGGUUAAUAUUCCUGUACUUGGUGUUACUGCGAAGGGGGGACGGAGAAGGCUAGGCUGGCCGGGCGACGGUUGUCCCGGUUUAAGCGUGUAGGGGGUGUGACCUGGUAAAUCCGGUUGCAUACUAACCCUGAGGCGUGAUGACGAUGCACUACGGUGCAGAAGUAGUUGAUGCCCUGCUUCCAGGAAAAUCCUCUAAGCUCCAGGUAACAUUNNNNNNNNNNNNNNNNNNNNNNNNNNNNNNNNNNNNNNNNNGAAGCCAGUCGAAGAUACCAGCUGGCUGCAACUGUUUAAUAAAAACACAGCACUGUGCAAACACGAAAGUGGACGUAUACGGUGUGACGCCUGCCCGGUGCUGGAAGGUUAAUUGAUGGGGUCAGCCGCAAGGCGAAGCUCUUGAUCGAAGCCCCAGUAAACGGCGGCCGUAACUAUAACGGUCCUAAGGUAGCGAAAUUCCUUGUCGGGUAAGUUCCGACCUGCACGAAUGGCGUAAUGAUGGCCAGGCUGUCUCCACCCGAGACUCAGUGAAAUUGAACUCGCUGUGAAGAUGCAGUGUACCCGCGGCAAGACGGAAAGACCCCGUGAACCUUUACUAUAGCUUGACACUGAACAUUGAGCCUUGAUGUGUAGGAUAGGUGGGAGGCUUUGAAGCGUGGACGCCAGUCUGCGUGGAGCCAUCCUUGAAAUACCACCCUUUAAUGUUUGAUGUUCUAACUCGGCCCCGUGAUCCGGGGUGAGGACAGUGUCUGGUGGGUAGUUUGACUGGGGCGGUCUCCUCCCAAAGAGUAACGGAGGAGCACGAAGGUUAGCUAAUCACGGUCGGACAUCGUGAGGUUAGUGCAAAGGCAUAAGCUAGCUUGACUGCGAGAGUGACGGCUCGAGCAGGUACGAAAGUAGGUCUUAGUGAUCCGGUGGUUCUGAAUGGAAGGGCCAUCGCUCAACGGAUAAAAGGUACUCCGGGGAUAACAGGCUGAUACCGCCCAAGAGUUCAUAUCGACGGCGGUGUUUGGCACCUCGAUGUCGGCUCAUCACAUCCUGGGGCUGAAGUAGGUCCCAAGGGUAUGGCUGUUCGCCAUUUAAAGUGGUACGCGAGCUGGGUUUAGAACGUCGUGAGACAGUUCGGUCCCUAUCUGCCGUGGGCGUUGGAAGAUUGAGAGGGGUUGCUCCUAGUACGAGAGGACCGGAGUGAACGCACCACUGGUGUUCGGGUUGUCAUGCCAAUGGCAUUGCCCGGUAGCUAAGUGCGGAAAAGAUAAGCGCUGAAAGCAUCUAAGCGCGAAACUUGCCUCAAGAUGAGUCUUCCCUGGGCCUUUAAGGCCCCUGAAGGAACGUUUAAGACUAAGACGUUGAUAGGCUGGGUGUGUAAGUGCAGCGAUGCAUUGAGCUAACCAGUACUAAUGAUCCGUGAGGCUUAACCUU
rnacentral:rRNA from 1 species